rnacentral:ncRNA from 1 species
UUAAAUGCUGGAGAUGACAUCGCCCAUCAAGGCUGAUGAUGUCUACGUAACC